UUUAGUGCAACCAUGUUAGGAAAAGCUAUGUGCUAAGUGUAGUGAGCACGCCAAAUACAGUGAGAGGAAAAAAAAUAAAAGAAAUCUGACCUGUUAGUAGCAUGGUGGGCCACAGCACUGUGCUGUGCUGUGAGCCUGGUCUGUCUCCAUCUAAGUUUCUUUAAUGAGAAAACAAAUAAAAUAUUCAAAAAAGAAAUUUUUUUUUUUUUUUUUUGAGACAGAGUCUCGCUCUGUCGCCCAGGCUGGAGUGCAGUGGCGCGAUCUCGGCUCACUGCAAGCUCCGCCUCCCGCGUUCACGUCGUUCUCCACCUCAGCCUCCCGAGUAGCUGGGACUACAUGCGCCCGCCAUCACACCAGGCUAAUUUUUUGUAUUUUUAGUAGAGACGGGGUUUCACCGUGUUAGCCAGGAUGGUCUCGAUCUCCUGACCUCGUGAUCCACCCGCCUCAGCCUCCCAAAGUGCUGGGAUUACAGGCGUGAGCUACUGCGCCCGGCCUAAAAUAUAUAUUAUGUGUAUAUACAUAGAUUUUUAAUUUAAUAAUAUUCCAUUGCUUAGAUGUACCACAGUUCAUUCAUCAGUUGAAAGGCCUUUGAGAUGCUCCCUCUUUGGGCAAUUAUGAAUAAUGUCACAAUCAACAUUUGCAUGCAGAUUUUGUGUGAACAUAAGAGUAAUUUCUCUUGGACUGGCAUGCCUGCUUUGUAUGGAUUGGUGAAGUGCUAAUAUUUAUUCCACUCCUGUCUUCUGAGCUCUAACCAAAUUGAGAACAACUACAAAAAAUGAGUAAUGUCAAGUAAGUCACCAGCAGAGAUCACAUUCAAGGGGAUUGGAUUACACAGGUGUGUGAAUACCAGGAAGAAUCAUUCAUUACAAACAACCAAAGUAACAGACAACACACACUCUGUGUGAGUGUGUAUAUGUAUGUGUGAGCUCUAUCAUUUGUUUAAAAAUAUUAUCUAAAUUCCUUCACAAUUUCUUCUCUGUUAUUUUUAACUGUAUUAUCUUUUACUUUUUAAAAGGGCUCCUCAACGAUUAUAAAAUAUUUGAUUUAGUAGAGUCUAAAUUAAUGCUCUCAAAACCUCCAAAAAAAUGCAUUUAUCUGUUAACUCCAAUUCUAAGUGAAAACCUAAGGUGUUUAUCUUUACUUACCAUUGUUCCCUUUUAGCCUUUUCGUUAAUGUUUUUAUGCAUUUU
rnacentral:lncRNA from 1 species